AGAGUUUGAUCCUGGCUCAGAUUGAACGCUGGCGGCAUGCCCUACACAUGCAAGUCGAACGGCAGCACGGACUUCGGUCUGGUGGCGAGUGGCGAACGGGUGAGUAAUGCAUCGGAACGUACCUUUCAGUGGGGGAUAACUAUCCGAAAGGAUAGCUAAUACCGCAUAUUCUGUGAGCAGGAAAGCAGGGGAUCGCAAGACCUUGCGCUGAUUGAGCGGCCGAUGUCAGAUUAGCUAGUUGGUGAGGUAAAGGCUCACCAAGGCGACGAUCUGUAGCGGGUCUGAGAGGAUGAUCCGCCACACUGGAACUGAGACACGGUCCAGACUCCUACGGGAGGCAGCAGUGGGGAAUUUUGGACAAUGGGGGCAACCCUGAUCCAGCCAUGCCGCGUGAGUGAAGAAGGCCUUCGGGUUGUAAAGCUCUUUCGGCCGGGAAAAAAUCGCAUGGGUUAAUACCCUGUGUGGAUGAUGGUACCGGAAUAAGAAGCACCGGCUAACUACGUGCCAGCAGCCGCGGUAAUACGUAGGGUGCGAGCGUUAAUCGGAAUUACUGGGCGUAAAGCGUGCGCAGGCGGUUUUGUAAGACAGGCGUGAAAUCCCCGGGCUCAACCUGGGAACUGCGCUUGUGACUGCAAGGCUAGAGUACGGCAGAGGGGGGUGGAAUUCCACGUGUAGCAGUGAAAUGCGUAGAGAUGUGGAGGAACACCAAUGGCGAAGGCAGCCCCCUGGGUCGAUACUGACGCUCAUGCACGAAAGCGUGGGUAGCAAACAGGAUUAGAUACCCUGGUAGUCCACGCCCU
rnacentral:rRNA from 1 species